rnacentral:rRNA from 1 species
UACAGAGGGGGCGAGCGUUGUUCGGAAUUACUGGGCGUAAAGGGCGCGUAGGCGGCCUGCUAAGUCGAACGUGAAAUCCCUGGGCUCAACCCAGGAACUGCGUCCGAUACUGGUUGGCUUGAAUCCGGGAGAGGGAUGUGGAAUUCCAGGUGUAGCGGUGAAAUGCGUAGAUAUCUGGAGGAAUACCGGUGGCGAAGGCGGCAUCCUGGACCGACAUUGACGCUGAGGAGCGAAAGCUAGGGGAGCAAACGGG